GUUGAACGCUGGCGGCAUGCUUUACACAUGCCAGUCGAACGGCAGCGCGGGCUUCGGCCUGGCGGCGAGUGGCGAACGGGUGAGUAAUACAUCGGAACGUGCCCAGUAGUGGGGGAUAGCUCGGCGAAAGCCGGAUUAAUACCGCAUACGACCUGAGGGUGAAAGCGGGGGAUCUUCGGACCUCGCGCUAUUGGAGCGGCCGAUGGCAGAUUAGCUAGUUGGUGGGGUAAAGGCCUACCAAGGCGACGAUCUGUAGCUGGUCUGAGAGGACGACCAGCCACACUGGGACUGAGACACGGCCCAGACUCCUACGGGAGGCAGCAGUGGGGAAUUUUGGACAAUGGGCGAAAGCCUGAUCCAGCAAUGCCGCGUGUGCGAUGAAGGCCUUCGGGUUGUAAAGCACUUUUGGCGGGAACGAAAAGGACUGUGCCAAUACCACGGUUCGAUGACGGUACCCGCAGAAUAAGCACCGGCUAACUACGUG
rnacentral:rRNA from 1 species